rnacentral:rRNA from 1 species
GGACCGGGUGGCCAUGGAAGUCGGAAUCCGCUAAGGAGUGUGUAACAACUCACCUGCCGAAUGAACUAGCCCUGAAAAUGGAUGACGCUGAAGCGGACAGCCGACACCGCGCCGUUUGGGUAAGAAGCGACCUAGAUGAGUAGGAGGGCGUGGCGGUCUUGUGAGGAAGGUCGAGACGCGAGUCUGACUGAAACGGCCGCUAGUGCAGAUCUUGGUGGUAGUAGCAAAUAUUCAAGCGAGAUCCUUGAAGGGCGAAGCGGGGAAGGGUUCCACGCGAACACUGAUUGGGCGUGGGUGAGUCGUUCCUAAGCCGGGUGGUAAUCGUUCUUCGAAGCGGCGAAAGGGAAGCGGGUUAAAAUUCCUGCACACGGAUGUGGAGGCGGUGACGCAAAAACUGAGGUGAAGACACCAGCGGUGGCGCUAGGCAGAGUUUUCUUUUCUGUUUGACCUGUGAGAAUGCACGGUGUGGAAUCCGAUUAUCGGGAGAAACACGUGCCAAAGGGCAGAGCGUCGGGAUGUUCCCGGCGUCUAGCACGCCACCGAUGGUCCUUGAAAAUUCAUCUGCGAUAACAUUUCACGCCGUGGCGUACCGAUAACCGCAUCAGGUCCCCAAGGUGAACAGCCUCUGCUCAAUAUGAACAAUGCAGGUAAGGGAAGUCGGCAAAAUAGACCCGUAACUUUGGGAAAAGGGUUGGCUCUAGUGGGGCGGAGGAUUCAGUUUUAAAUGGAUUGCAGGGUUCUGGCGGGAUUGCAGGACGGGUUGGGCUAGUCUGAGGCAACUCGGUAUUGGCUUGGUCUGACUUGCUCUCUGUCUUGGGGCUCUGGGGUCCGCCUUCGGUAUGCUCCAGACUAGAACUGCAACGGGCAAAGGGAAUCCGACUGUUUAAUUAAAACAAA